UUUGACGUUACCUACAGAAGAAGCACCGGCUAACUCCGUGCCAGCAGCCGCGGUAAUACGGAGGGUGCGAGCGUUAAUCGGAAUUACUGGGCGUAAAGCGCAUGCAGGCGGCCUGUUAAGUCAGAUGUGAAAGACCCGGGGCGUUAACCUCGGAAUUGCAUUUGAAACUGGCAGGCUAGAGUCUUGUAGAGGGGGGUAGGAAUUUCUAGGUGUAGCGGUGAAAUAGCGUAGAGAUCUGAAGGAAUACCAGUGGCGAAGGCGGCCCCCUCGGACAAAGACUGACGCUCAGAUGCGAAAGCGUGGGGAGCAAACAGGAUUAGAUACCCUGGUAG
rnacentral:rRNA from 1 species